rnacentral:rRNA from 1 species
UACGUAGGGUGCGAGCGUUGUCCGGAAUUACUGGGCGUAAAGAGCUCGUAGGUGGUUUGUCGCGUUGUUCGUGAAAACCGGGGGCUUAACCCUCGGCGUGCGGGCGAUACGGGCAGACUGGAGUACUGCAGGGGAGACUGGAAUUCCUGGUGUAGCGGUGAAAUGCGCAGAUAUCAGGAGGAACACCGGUGGCGAAGGCGGGUCUCUGGGCCGAUACUGACGUGAGGAGCGAAAGCGUGGGGAGCGAACAGGAUUAGAUACCCGUUGUAGCUCA